rnacentral:rRNA from 1 species
UUAAGUGCCCCGCCUGGGGAGUACGAUCGCAAGAUUAAAACUCAAAGGAAUUGACGGGCCCCGCACAAGCAGCGGAGCAUGCGGCUUAAUUCGACGCAACGCGAAGAACCUUACCAAGGCUUGACAUAUACAGGAAUAUGGCAGAGAUGUCAUAGCCGCAAGGUCUGUAUACAGGUGGUGCAUGGUUGUCGUCAGCUCGUGUCGUGAGAUGUUGGGUUAAGUCCCGCAACGAGCGCAACCCUCGUUCUGUGUUGCCAGCAUUUAGUUGGGGACUCACAGGAGACUGCCGGGGUUAACUCGGAGGAAGGUGGGGAUGACGUCAAAUCAUCAUGCCCCUUAUGUCUUGGGCUGCACGCAUGCUACAAUGGCUGGUACAAACGGCUGCAAUACCGCAAGGUGGAGCGAAUCCGAUAAAGCCAGUCUCAGUUCGGAUUGGGGUCUGCAACUCGACCCCAUGAAGUCGGAGUUGCUAGUAAUCGUAGAUCAGCAACGCUACGGUGAAUACGUUCCCGGGGCUUGUACACACCGCCCGUCACGUCACGAAAGUCGGUAACACCCGAAGUCAGU